rnacentral:hammerhead_ribozyme from 1 species
AUCUAGUUGAAGAUUCCCACACAGGACAAAACGUGCGUCCUGGAU